GACGAACGCUGGCGGCGUGCUUAACACAUGCAAGUCGAACGGAAAGGCCCUGCUUUUGUGGGGUGCUCGAGUGGCGAACGGGUGAGUAACACGUGAGUAACCUGCCCUUGACUUUGGGAUAACUUCAGGAAACUGGGGCUAAUGCCGGAUAGGAGCUCCUGCUGCAUGGUGGGGGUUGGAAAGUUUCGGCGGUUGGGGAUGGACUCGCGGCUUAUCAGCUUGUUGGUGGGGUAGUGGCUUACCAAGGCUUUGACGGGUAGCCGGCCUGAGAGGGUGACCGGCCACAUUGGGACUGAGAUACGGCCCAGACUCCUACGGGAGGCAGCAGCGGGGAAUAUUGCACAAUGGGCGGAAGCCUGAUGCAGCAACGCCGCGUGCGGGAUGACGGCCUUCGGGUUGUAAACCGCUUUCGCCUGUGACGAAGCGUGAGUGACGGUAAUGGGUAAAGAAGCACCGGCUAACUACGUG
rnacentral:rRNA from 1 species